AUAUAUAAAGUAAAAAUUUACAUUUAAUUUCGACUUAAAAAUUNUGAUUAAUUAAUCUAUAUAUU
rnacentral:tRNA from 1 species